rnacentral:lncRNA from 1 species
GAACGGAUCCGACGCUGGUGAGGAAAAUGACGACGACGCUGAGGACAACGAGGAUGCCAAGGGUCUCGCGGUCGGAGAAAGUGCGGCCGAAGAGGACGAGAGGAGGAUCGGAGGGGCGGAAGAGGUAGAGGAAGAGCCAGGCGGCGAGGAGAGAAAGGAGGAGGAGGAGAGAGAAAGGGUUGGUGAGGAGAGAGAAGGCAAGGGUAAGGGCGAUGAGGGAGAGGUAGUUGACGCGGAAGUAGGUGUAGUUCUUGCGUACGCGAAGGGCGGCCUCGGAGAAGGACUCGGGGCGGGAGAAAGCGUUGCGGUCGACGAGCUCGGACCAGGGGCGGCGCUGAGCGAAGCCGUUGCGGACGGAAUCGGUGAUGUGGGUGAUAAAUAAGCGGACAGCGGGUGUGGCGACCGGAG